GCGGGAGUUGCCAAGCCUGGUCAAAGGCGUGAGGCUCAGAAACCAGGGAUUGAGAUACCUCAUCUCUUAGGGGUCCGUGGGUUCAAAUCCCACCUCCCGCA
rnacentral:tRNA from 1 species